CGGGGUGUAGCGUAGCCCGGUAGCGCGCUUCGUUCGGGACGAAGAGGUCGUAGGUUCAAAUCCUAUCACCCCGA
rnacentral:tRNA from 2 species